rnacentral:rRNA from 1 species
AAUACGGGGGCUCAACCUCCGCCCGCCGUUGAAACUGACGGUCUUGAGUGGGCGAGAAGUAUGCGGAAUGCGUGGUGUAGCGGUGAAAUGCAUAGAUAUCACGCAGAACUCCGAUUGCGAAGGCAGCGUACCGGCGCCCAACUGACGCUGAAGCACGAAGGCGUGGGUAUCGAACAGGAUUAGAUACCCUGGUAGUCCACGCAGUAAACGAUGAAUGCUAGUUGUCCGGGGCGAUUGAGUUCUGGGUGACACAGCGAAAGCGUUAAGCAUUCCACCUGGGGAGUACGCCGGCAACGGUGAAACUCAAAGGAAUUGACGGGGGCCCGCACAAGCGGAGGAACAUGUGGUUUAAUUCGAUGAUACGCGAGGAACCUUACCCGGGCUCAAACGCAGGAGGGAUGUUUUUGAAAGGAGGCAGCCAGCAAUGGUCUCCUGCGAGGUGCUGCAUGGUUGUCGUCAGCUCGUGCCGUGAGGUGUCGGCUUAAGUGCCAUAACGAGCGCAACCCCUACCUACAGUUGCCAUCGCGUGAUGGCGGGCACUCUGUGGGGACUGCCUGCGCAAGCAGUGAGGAAGGCGGGGAUGACGUCAAAUCAGCACGGCCCUUACGUCCGGGGCGACACACGUGUUACAAUGGCAGGUACAGCGGGAAGCCACCCGGCGACGGGGCGCGGAACCCGAAAACCUGUCUCAGUUCGGAUUGGAGUCUGCAACCCGACUCCAUGAAGCUGGAUUCGCUAGUAAUCGCGCAUCAGCCACGGCGCGGUGAAUACGUUCCCGGGCCUUGUACACACCGCCCGUCAAGCCAUGGAAGCCGGGGGUGCCUGAAGUGCGUGACCGCAAGGAGCGCCCUAGGGUAAAACCGGUGACUGGGGCUAAGUCGUAACAAGGUAACCGUAA